GUGUUUAUAAGUUUAUAUAAGUUCAUGUAAUGUUCCAUCUUCUGUCAGUUUGGGCCAGCCCACCUUCUAGUGACAUCAUCCGGUUAGUAAGGUGGGCAGUUUAAUGGCGGCUGAGCAGUGUUGGUCCGGAGGGGGUGCACUGAUUCCUGGGGCAUGUUAGGUGUGCGUAAAUGACAACCCAAAUGCGUCUUCCGAGCGCAUCUGAGUCACGUGACCGCACAGUAACAAAUCCCAGCAGGGCAA